GAGUUUGAUCCUGGCUCAGGACGAACGCUGGCGGCGUGCCUAAUACAUGCAAGUCGAGCGGACAGAUGGGAGCUUGCUCCCUGAUGUUAGCGGCGGACGGGUGAGUAACACGUGGGUAACCUGCCUGUAAGACUGGGAUAACUCCGGGAAACCGGGGCUAAUACCGGAUGGUUGUUUGAACCGCAUGGUUCAAACAUAAAAGGUGGCUUCGGCUACCACUUACAGAUGGACCCGCGGCGCAUUAGCUAGUUGGUGAGGUAAUGGCUCACCAAGGCAACGAUGCGUAGCCGACCUGAGAGGGUGAUCGGCCACACUGGGACUGAGACACGGCCCAGACUCCUACGGGAGGCAGCAGUAGGGAAUCUUCCGCAAUGGACGAAAGUCUGACGGAGCAACGCCGCGUGAGUGAUGAAGGUUUUCGGAUCGUAAAGCUCUGUUGUUAGGGAAGAACAAGUACCGUUCGAAUAGGGCGGUACCUUGACGGUACCUAACCAGAAAGCCACGGCUAACUACGUGCCAGCAGCCGCGGUAAUACGUAGGUGGCAAGCGUUGUCCGGAAUUAUUGGGCGUAAAGGGCUCGCAGGCGGUUUCUUAAGUCUGAUGUGAAAGCCCCCGGCUCAACCGGGGAGGGUCAUUGGAAACUGGGGAACUUGAGUGCAGAAGAGGAGAGUGGAAUUCCACGUGUAGCGGUGAAAUGCGUAGAGAUGUGGAGGAACACCAGUGGCGAAGGCGACUCUCUGGUCUGUAACUGACGCUGAGGAGCGAAAGCGUGGGGAGCGAACAGGAUUAGAUACCCUGGUAGUCCACGCCGUAAACGAUGAGUGCUAAGUGUUAGGGGGUUUCCGCCCCUUUAGUGCUGCAGCUAACGCAUUAAGCACUCCGCCUGGGGAGUACGGUCGCAAGACUGAAACUCAA
rnacentral:rRNA from 1 species